GUCAGGAUGGCCGAGUGGUCUAAGGCGCCAGACUCAAGGAGUCACUCCUGCCUCACAAAAGGGAAUUCUGGUCUCCAAAUGGAGGCGUGGGUUCAAAUCCCACUCCUGACA
rfam:Oreochromis niloticus linkage group LG17, whole genome shotgun sequence.